rnacentral:rRNA from 1 species
CACCGCCCGUCACACCAUGGGAGUCGAUUGCUCCCAGAAGUGCCUGAGCCAACCGCAAGGAGGCAGGGCCCCAAGGAGUGAUCGGUAACUGGGGUG